AAAACAAAUUUCUAACGCCUACUCCCUUUUCUCUCUCUUUGACAUCAGUUCUUUCUUCUAAAGUCUAAACCCAAAACAAAUUUCAUCCUUCACCAUCACACGUUUCUUUCUUCAGGGAUCAAGCAGCUGUCGAAUCUUUUUCUGGUGAAGUGGAUGAUUUGAGACCAAAUUGUAUUUGGAUUUCAAGGAUAUCUUUCAGAAAUUGGAAGUUCUCUUGAUGUGAAUAGAGAUGGACAUAUUUUUGACGAGGUUUAAUUCUUCUCAAUCAAG